AAUAUCUUUAUUUUUCGAAUAUUGUAAAACGUAGGACAUAGCUUGUAAAAAGGUACAAAGAAGUAAGGUUUUCGGUAACAUAACGGUUUAUUCGAAGUACAGAUACCACUUAUGAAAAGAAAGUACGAACGAACUCACGGCUACUAAACGCUAGCGCCACCACCAAAUUGUGGUGAUAAGGAAAAGAGCUAUCGACAUUUCCGUUGUGCAGCUAUCGCCCGUUUCUACAUGUAAGCACAUAUUGGUUUUGUGAAAUAUGGAUGUAACACGGGUUAAAGAAAAAGUCUUGGAGGAAGAAAGGAGAAGUGCCACUACAAAGGCCGAUAUACAAUAAAAAAGACUUUCUAUGAAUUGUGAAAAUUGUUAAGUUUAAAAUUCUAUUCUCCUUUGUUCUUGUUUACAUUAAUUGCAUAAAUGACUUAAGAUUUUUUCUUUAACACUGUUUUUUAAUAUCAUUACUCCAGAUUGUAUUCAAAUGUUCUUGAUCAUAUUAAAUAUCAUUCUACAUGUCAUAUUGUAAGGUGAUAGAUAGUACUUCAAGUCUGAAAAAUUUAAAUUUGCAAUUCAAAUUUUUUCUUUCGGUGGGUAACGAGUAUAAAAUAAUCAGUUAGGUUAGACAGUACACCAGCUACACACCUGUCAAGUUGAUAUAUUGUUGAUGCAUUUAUGUAAUUGUUUAUUAUAUCAAACCCACACGUUUUACACGUCAAAUUGUCAACUGAUCUUAGAGAAUUACUAUAUAUUGAUGUUUUAGAUACCUCGAGUCAGAAGGGCUUAGGGGUCCGGCUGGACUGAGACCUAGGAAAUGGGUCUCGUAGAUAUUAAGAUUAAGUUAGGCUUUAGAUAUGACAUUUGUUAAGACUUAAGAAGUUACAAAAUGAAUUAUGAAAGUUAUGUACGAAAUAUUCUACUGUGUAAAUAAACAUCAAAAACGUUCA